AAAUAAAAUCUUUUUUAAACAAUCCGCAUGUAAGUGGACCCACGGAGUUCAAACCCAUGUCGCUCAGCGGUCAUCUGUGUUGGUUUUUUCUUCACAUUUCGGUUUUUUACUGGAAACAAUUUUUUCUGUUGUUCAGACGCUUUAGGGCACCUUUCUCUUUGAUCGUGGAUGGAGUCACCAAGCAAGAGGGAAAAUGGGCAGGAGAGCCAGCAGAGGGGAAAUAACAGCCGGUGCAGCGGGGCCAUUUCCCGAGCUGUGAGGGGAGGAGCAAGACGUGCCUGUGAUGCAAAGGGCGGCGGGUGCUGUCGUGGGAGGCGGUGAGUUGCCCGGAUUCUCUCUGUCGCCAGGAGGGGACUUGGGAGAUGUGGCGCUGCACGGGCUGGGAGGGCGGCCCGCCCCCGCUCCGCUCCCGGAGCUGCCCGGGUGAAUCUUCGGGGCGGAGAGCCCCGCUCACAGUACCCCCGGUUAAGAGGACACCUGCCCCGGGACCUGGCUGCUCCCCUAGUCCUUCUAACGUGUCUAAUAGAGAUUUCCUUUGACGGGGCGGAGGGGGGGGUGACUGCUGGAAACGGCAAUGGUGUAUCUCACCCCCAAUUUACACACACACACACACACA